rnacentral:lncRNA from 1 species
UUCGUCGACUUCGGAGGAACUCCUUCUGGUAAGGGUUCGGUAUGGGAUUCCUCCGGAGUACGAUCUGGAGCUCCCUGGUCCCUCCGAUCGGGCCUGCACUCUCCCCCCGAUCGCUUCUGUUUGUAUCAGGAAGCGUUCCGUGCCGGACUCCAGCUUCCGCUUCCUGCCUUCGUCGCUGCCUUCUUCCGCUUCUUGGACAUCUCUCUUGCUUCCGUGGCCCCGAACUCC